CAGGCAGAUUGCUCAGUAAUAUAAAAUGGCCAAACCAAAUUGUGACACAACACAGUCACUUUACGUUAACUCCAUUCCUUAUGUGACACUUCUGAGUUUGCAGGCAGCACAUGUUGGAAAUACCAGAGAUGAGGUAUUAGAGAAUCCAGACUCCAGUGUGGCUACAAUGGAAGUGAGAGAAGGGAUUGUAUCACCUGAGCGAUGCCUUAAACACGCAGAAAAGAAGUAA
rnacentral:lncRNA from 1 species